rnacentral:rRNA from 1 species
AGAGUUUGAUCCUGGCUCAGAUUGAACGCUAGCGGGAUGCCUUACACAUGCAAGUCGAACGGCAGCGCGGGCUUCGGCCUGGCGGCGAGUGGCGAACGGGUGAGUAAUGCAUCGGAACGUACCCAGUAUGGGGGAUAACCACGCGAAAGCGUGGCUAAUACCGCAUACGCCCUUAGGGGAAAGGGGGGAUCCUUCGGGACCUCUCGCUAUUGGAGCGGCCGAUGUCGGAUUAGCUAGUUGGUGGGGUAAAGGCCUACCAAGGCGACGAUCCGUAGCUGGUUUGAGAGGACGACCAGCCACACUGGGACUGAGACACGGCCCAGACUCCUACGGGAGGCAGCAGUGGGGAAUUUUGGACAAUGGGGGAAACCCUGAUCCAGCCAUCCCGCGUGUGCGAUGAAGGCCUUCGGGUUGUAAAGCACUUUUGGCAGGAAAGAAAUAGGCCUGGCUAAUACCUGGGCUGAAUGACGGUACCUGCAGAAUAAGCACCAGCUAACUACGUG